CCUUGAUCCUAAAAGCUCUAACAGAGUCACCUAACUCUGGACUCACAAAUCUUUUCCUUCAGUGACUAGCACUGAUACAGAAUAUUCACCAUGGACUUGCGACUGACUUAUGUCUUUAUUGUUGCUAUUUUAAAAGGUGUCUUGUGUGAGGUGAAACUGGAGGAAUCUGGGGGAGGUUUGGUGCAACCUGGAAUGUCCGUGAAACUCUCUUGUACAACUUCUGGAUUCACUUUCAGUGACUACUGGAUGGAAUGGGUCCGCCAGGCUCCAGGGAAGGGGCUAGAAUGGGUAGCCGAAAUUAGAAACAAAGCUAAUAAUUAUGCAACAUACUAUGGGAAGUCUGUGAAAGGCAGAUUCACCAUCUCAAGAGAUGAUUCCAAAAGUAUAGUCUACCUGCAAAUGAACAGCAUAAGAUCUGAAGAUACUGGCAUUUAUUAUUGUACAAGGCACAACACUCCUGUCAGCACUGUGUAUCUGCACAUUAGCAGCCUUAAGAAUGUGGAUUUGUAUUACUGUGCAAGAAACAACGUGUCAAAGCCAUAUCAUGAGGAUGACAGAACAUCUAAGAGAAAGAUUGACAUGUUAAGUCUAAUCAGUAGCAAAGAAAACAUUCAACCCUAUGUAUUUGACUAG